rnacentral:rRNA from 1 species
AGUCGAGAGGGUUCGGCCCUCGGCUGACGGCUCAGUAACACGUGGAUAAUCUACCCUAAGGUGGAGGAUAACCUCGGGAAACUGAGAAUAAUACUCCAUAGGUCUAGGAUGCUGGAAUGCACUUAGGCUGAAAACUUCGGUGCCUUAGGAUGAGUCUGCGGACUAUCAGGUUGUAGUCAGGGUAAAGACCUGACUAGCCUACGACGGAUACGGGUUGUGAGAGCAAUAACCCGGAGAUGAUAUCUGAGACACGAUAUCAGGCCCUACGGGGCGCAGCAGGCGCGAAACCUUCACACUGCGCGAAAGCGCGAUGAGGGAAUCCCAAGUGCUUGCACGUAAGUGUAAGCUGUUUUUAUGUCUAAAAAGCAUAGAGAGUAAGAGCUGGGUAAGACGGGUGCCAGCCGCCGCGGUAAUACCUGCAGCUCGAGUGGUGGUCGCUAUUAUUGGGCCUAAAACGUUCGUAGCCGGUUUGUUAAAUGCCUAGGUAAAUAGUAUAGCUUAACUAUACGAAUUCUGGGUAGACUGUCAAACUUGAGAUCGGGAGAGGCUAGAGGUACUCCUGGGGUAGAGGUGAAAUUCUGUAAUCCUAGGGGGACCACCAGUGGCGAAGGCGUCUAGCUAGAACGAGUCUGACGGUGAGGGACGAAGCCCUGGGGCGCAAACGGGAUUAGAUACCCCGGUAGUCCAGGGUGUAAACGCUGCUUGCUUGAUGUUAGUCGGGCUCUGAGCCCGAUUAGUGUCGGAGAGAAGUUGUUUAGCAAGCUGCCUGGGAAGUACGGUCGCAAGGCUGAAACUUAAAGGAAUUGGCGGGGGAGCACAGCAACGGGUGGAGCGUGCGGUUUAAUUGGAUCAACGCCGGA